UACGAAGGGGGGCUAGCGUUGCUCGGAAUCACUGGGCGUAAAGCGCACGUAGGCGGCUUUCUAAGUCAGGGGUGAAAUCCUGGAGCUCAACUCCAGAACUGCCCCUUGAUACUGGAGAGCUUGAGUUCGGGAGAGGUGAGUGGAACUGCGAGUGUAGAGGUGAAAUUCGUAGAUAUUCGCAAGAACACCAGUGGCGAAGGCGGCUCACUGGCCCGAUACUGACGCUGAGGUGCGAAAGCGUGGGGAGCAACAGG
rnacentral:rRNA from 1 species